rnacentral:rRNA from 1 species
AAAUAGAUACCCCCGGUAGUCCACGCCGUAAACGAUGAGUGCUAAGUGUUAGAGGGUUUCCGCCCUUUAGUGCUGCAGCUAACGCAUUAAGCACUCCGCCUGGGGAGUACGGUCGCAAGACUGAAACUCAAAGGAAUUGACGGGGGCCCGCACAAGCGGUGGAGCAUGUGGUUUAAUUCGAAGCAACGCGAAGAACCUUACCAGGUCUUGACGUCCCACUGACCGGUAUAGAGAUAUACCUUUCCCUUCGGGGACAGUGGUGACAGGUGGUGCAUGGUUGUCGUCAGCUCGUGUCGUGAGAUGUUGGGUUAAGUCCCGCAACGAGCGCAACCCUUGAUCUUAGUUGCCAGCAUUUAGUUGGGCACUCUAAGGUGACUGCCGGUGACAAACCGGAGGAAGGUGGGGAUGACGUCAAAUCAUCAUGCCCCUUAUGACCUGGGCUACACACGUGCUACAAUGGAUGGUACAAAGGGCUGCAAGACUGCGAAGUCAAGCCAAUCCCAUAAAACCAUUCUCAGUUCGGAUUGCAGGCUGA